rnacentral:tRNA from 1 species
GCCGCUUUAGCUCAGCUGGUAGAGCGUUGCAUUCGUAAUGCAAAAGUCACAGGUUCGAGUCCUGUAAGCGGCACCA